CGGGAAUAGCUCAUUUGGUAGAGCGCAGCCUUGCCAAGGCUGAGGUGGCGGGUUCGAGCCCCGUUUCCCGCUCCA
rnacentral:tRNA from 1 species